rnacentral:rRNA from 1 species
GGCCCGUUCGUUCGUUCUAUUCUGAUAUUCAGGACCAAGAGCUAUUGGAUUCUCUUUCGGAUAGGCCCUGAAAGGAGAAGAAAGGCUGAAAUGCCAACGGACCUUUGUCUAUUCUCUAAUUCACCCGAUCCGAUAGUACUCGUUUUUGCAACGUCCAAUGAUGAAGUCACUGAAUGGGUAAGUCACGAAUCCAAUACCAUGAUAAAUAAAAACAUGAGAAAAAUAGAUUUAGAUUUAUGA